AUCCUGGCACACAAUUUCCUGUGUAAUCUGGUCCCUGCUAUCCCUCCAAGCCCAUUUAUUCCCAAGGUCCCACCUACCCUCUGACAUCUCCCUACACUUGUUUUUCAGUUCCUGUUGCUCAAAACUGGACUUGGAGGCAGCAGACCAUGUGAUUGAAGAAUACAUUCUCCAAAAUAGGCAGUGCAUGAAAAUGGAACACCAACGGGAUGAUGACAGAGCCAGCCUCAGCUACUCUUGUUCCUUGGAAGUCCUCAUAGAAGAAUUGUCAACCAGUUGUCAACCAUUUCAGCUCAUUGGAAGAGCCAAGGCAGUUAGGACUCUAUUAUACCUCAAUGUGGACACAGCUGUGACAGAAUGCAGGGGCUGA
rnacentral:lncRNA from 1 species